UAGACUGAAGGGCACCGAGGUACUGGCUACAACAGCCUGGGGCAGGAAGGUGACCACCUGCCAACAGAACGGAUGUGAGAGAGGAGCAGGUGGAGGUGUGGGGACUGAACGCCAAGCCGGUUAAGGAAAGCUGGGACACCUUCAUCUCUUUGGGAGCAGGCCUUUCCAGGUCUCUGCUGCUGCUCCCAGAACCCUCCAUGUGAUGCCCCUCCUACUUCCCUCCAGAAGGAGAACACCGUGAGAGAAAGCAGGGCUUCAGAGUCCAUGGCACUUGGCUUAGAAAUCUGACACCACCUCUCAGACUGGGGGCGCCUGGGUGGCUCAGUCGGUUAAGCGUCAGACUUCAGCUCAGGUCAUGAUCUCGCGAUCCAUGAGUUCGAGCCCCGCAUUGGGGUCUGUGCUGACAGCUCAGAGCCUGGAGCCUGUUUCAGAUUCUGUGUCUCCCUCUCUCCCUGACCCUCCCCCGUUCAUGCUCUGUCUCUCUCUGUCUCAAAAAUAAAUAAA